UACGGAGGGGGCUAGCGUUGUUCGGAAUCAUUGGGCGUAAAGCACGCGUAGGUGGCUUCGUAAGUCCGUUGUGAAAGUCAAAGGCUCAACCUUUGAAAGCCGAUGGAUACUGCGGAGCUAGAGUACGGAAGGGGCGAGUGGAAUUCCUGGUGUAGCGGUGGAAUGCGCAGAUAUCAGGAGGAACACCAAUAGCGAAGGCAGCUCGCUGGGACGUUACUGACACUGAGGCGCGAAAGCGUGGGGAGCGAACAGG
rnacentral:rRNA from 1 species